rnacentral:rRNA from 1 species
GGGACACGUGGUAUCCUGUCUGAAUAUGGGGGGACCAUCCUCCAAGGCUAAAUACUCCUGACUGACCGAUAGUGAACCAGUACCGUGAGGGAAAGGCGAAAAGAACCCCGGCGAGGGGAGUGAAAAAGAACCUGAAACCGUGUACGUACAAGCAGUGGGAGCACCCUUUUGGGUGUGACUGCGUACCUUUUGUAUAAUGGGUCAGCGACUUAUAUUCUGUAGCAAGGUUAACCGAAUAGGGGAGCCGGAGGGAAACCGAGUCUUAAUUGGGCGUUAAGUUGCAGGGUAUAGACCCGAAACCCGGUGAUCUAGCCAUGGGCAGGUUGAAGGUUGGGUAACACUAACUGGAGGACCGAACCGACUAAUGUUGAAAAAUUAGCGGAUGACCUGUGGCUGGGGGUGAAAGGCCAAUCAAACCGGGAGAUAGCUGGUUCUCCCCGAAAGCUAUUUAGGUAGCGCCUCGUGAAUUCAUCUCCGGGGGUAGAGCACUGUUUCGGCUAGGGGGCCAUCCCGGCUUACCAACCCGAUGCAAACUGCGAAUACCGGAGAAUGUUAUCACGGGAGACACACGGCGGGUGCUAACGUCCGUCGUGAAGAGGGAAACAACCCAGACCGCCAGCUAAGGUCCCAAAGUCAUGGUUAAGUGGGAAACGAUGUGGGAAGGCCCAGACAGCCAGGAUGUUGGCUUAGAAGCAGCCAUCAUUUAAAGAAAGCGUAAUAGCUCACUGGUCGAGUCGGCCUGCGCGGAAGAUGUAACGGGGCUAAACCAUGCACCGAAGCUGCGGCAGCGACGCUCAGGCGUUGUUGGGUAGGGGAGCGUUCUGUAAGCCUGUGAAGGUGGCCUGUGAGGGUUGCUGGAGGUAUCAGAAGUGCGAAUGCUGACAUAAGUAACGAUAAAGCGGGUGAAAAGCCCGCUCGCCGGAAGACCAAGGGUUCCUGUCCAACGUUAAUCGGGGCAGGGUGAGUCGACCCCUAAGGCGAGGCCGAAAGGCGUAGUCGAUGGGAAACGGGUUAAUAUUCCCGUACUUGGUGUUACUGCGAAGGGGGGACGGAGAAGGCUAUGUUGGCCGGGCGACGGUUGUCCCGGUUUAAGCGUGUAGGUGUGUGUUCCAGGUAAAUCCGGUUCACUUUAACACUGAGGCGUGACGACGAGGCACUACGGUGCUGAAGCAACAAAUGCCCUGCUUCCAGGAAAAGCCUCUAAGCAUCAGGUAACAUCAAAUCGUACCCCAAACCGACACAGGUGGUCAGGUAGAGAAUACCAAGGCGCUUGAGAGAACUCGGGUGAAGGAACUAGGCAAAAUGGUGCCGUAACUUCGGGAGAAGGCACGCUGACACGUAGGUGAAGUGAUUUACUCAUGGAGCUGAAGUCAGUCGAAGAUACCAGCUGGCUGCAACUGUUUAUUAAAAACACAGCACUGUGCAAACACGAAAGUGGACGUAUACGGUGUGACGCCUGCCCGGUGCCGGAAGGUUAAUUGAUGGGGUCAGCGCAAGCGAAGCUCCUGAUCGAAGCCCCGGUAAACGGCGGCCGUAACUAUAACGGUCCUAAGGUAGCGAAAUUCCUUGUCGGGUAAGUUCCGACCUGCACGAAUGGCGUAAUGAUGGCCAGGCUGUCUCCACCCGAGACUCAGUGAAAUUGAACUCGCUGUGAAGAUGCAGUGUACCCGCGGCAAGACGGAAAGACCCCGUGAACCUUUACUAUAGCUUGACACUGAACAUUGAGCCUUGAUGUGUAGGAUAGGUGGGAGGCUUUGAAGCGUGGACGCCAGUCUGCGUGGAGCCGACCUUGAAAUACCACCCUUUAAUGUUUGAUGUUCUAACGUGGACCCGUUACCCGGGUUGCGGACAGUGUCUGGUGGGUAGUUUGACUGGGGCGGUCUCCUCCUAAAGAGUAACGGAGGAGCACGAAGGUUGGCUAAUCCUGGUCGGACAUCAGGAGGUUAGUGCAAUGGCAUAAGCCAGCUUGACUGCGAGCGUGACGGCGCGAGCAGGUGCGAAAGCAGGUCAUAGUGAUCCGGUGGUUCUGAAUGGAAGGGCCAUCGCUCAACGGAUAAAAGGUACUCCGGGGAUAACAGGCUGAUACCGCCCAAGAGUUCAUAUCGACGGCGGUGUUUGGCACCUCGAUGUCGGCUCAUCACAUCCUGGGGCUGAAGUAGGUCCCAAGGGUAUGGCUGUUCGCCAUUUAAAGUGGUACGCGAGCUGGGUUUAGAACGUCGUGAGACAGUUCGGUCCCUAUCUGCCGUGGGCGCUGGAGAACUGAGGGGGGCUGCUCCUAGUACGAGAGGACCGGAGUGGACGCAUCACUGGUGUUCGGGUUGUCAUGCCAAUGGCACUGCCCGGUAGCUAAAUGCGGAAGAGAUAAGUGCUGAAAGCAUCUAAGCACGAAACUUGCCCCGAGAUGAGUUCUCCCUGAGACUUAGAGUCUCCUGAAGGAACGUUGAAGACGAC